AGAAGCCACAGGUAUGUGAAACAACCUCCGGCUGGAGAGGGACCAGACAGUAGAACAGAGAUGGAUGAAAUCCAGUAUGCCAGUGUGCAAUUCACUGCAAACCAGCCAGAUGCUGUCUACUCCAACUUCAGCCCAGGUCAGAUGGACCGAUACCAGGAGGAGUCUGUGGUGUACUCAACGACCAAACCCAACAGAUCUACAAGAACAAGAAAUCAAGCAGCUGUGGAGGAUCCAUCUGCACUGUAUAGCAAAGUUGUGAGAAAAUAACAUGGAUCUGCUGGUAUCUUCAGUGAGUCGCUUCAGACAGACGUGGUCAGUAAUUAGCAUGAAGGCAGCAACAUUUCAUACAAAAUGCAUUUAUAUUAUUGAAGAUGAACUAAACAUUAGACCUCAGAGUAACACGGAGGCAUUUUCUGCAUUUGUCUCCAAUGAAAGGAAACAAAGUGUAGGGUGUGCUUGUUUUGUACAGAUUGUAAAGCCCCUUGAGGCAAAUUUGAAACUCUUUUGGGGUUCAUAAAAUUGGCCUGAUUUGACCAGUCUUUCAUGGGAUUCAGCACACUUCUACAAAAUGUCCAGAGAGUUAAGCUAGUAUCUCCUCACAUUGCUGUUUAAAUGUUUUAAUGAUUGUCCCUCACUCAGUGUAAGUCAGAAAACUAUGUUCAGAAUCCAUAUUUAUAAUUUUACUGCUUCACCACCACAGCUAUUUAUUAACUGUCUGCAUCAGUGUGUUUGUUUAUCCACUUUAAAAGCUGUGUGUUCAUCAUGUUGGCUUUGUUUUGUCUCACAUGGAAAAUCAAUAAAAAUGUUUUUUUUUCUUUCUCUCA